rnacentral:rRNA from 1 species
UGGGGAAUAUUGGACAAUGGGCGCAAGCCUGAUGACGCAACGCCGCGUGGGGGAUGAAGGUCUUCGGAUCGUAAACCCCUGUCGAAUGGGACGAAAGACUCGCGAGUGAAUACUUCGCGAGAGUGACGGUACCGUUAAAGGAAGCCACGGCUAACUCUGUGCCAGCAGCCGCGGUAAUACAGAGGUGGCAAGCGUUGUUCGGAAUUACUGGGCGUAAAGGGCGCGUAGGCGGCCCUCUAAGUCAGACGUGAAAUCCCCCGGCUUAACCUGGGAACUGCGUCUGAUACUGGAGGGCUUGAGUAUGGGAGAGGGAUGUAGAAUUCCAGGUGUAGCGGUGAAAUGCGUAGAUAUCUGGAGGAAUACCGGUGGCGAAGGCGGCAUCCUGGACCAUUACUGACGCUGAGGCGCGAAAGCUAGGGGAGCAAACGGGAUUAGAUACCCAAGUAGUCCCUGAGCGGGCUGGCAAGGCGCAU